UAAGUAGGUAGUAAAGCCUGGGGCUCAACCCCUUAAUAUUAUCUAAACUGCGAAGCUAGAAUCUAGAAGAGGUCACUGGAAUUCCUUGUGUAGGAGUGAAAUCCGUAGAUAUAGGGAGGAACACCGAUGGCGUAGGCAGGUGACUGGUCUAGUAUUGACGCUAAGGCACGAAAGCGUGGGGAGCAAACGGGAUUAGAUACCCCGGUAGUCCACGCCGUAAACUAUGGAUGCUA
rnacentral:rRNA from 1 species